AGCAGCCGCGGUAAUUCCAGCUCCAAUAGCGUAUAUUAAAGUUGUUGCAGUUAAAAAGCUCGUAGUUGAAUUUCGGGAUCAAAUUGUCGGUCGUGCCUCGGUACGCACUGGUAUUAUUGGUCCCUACCUUCUGAAGAACCGCGAUGUCAUUAAUUUGGUGUCGUGGGGAAUCAGGACUGUUACUUUGAAAAAAUUAGAGUGUUUAAAGCAGGCUUACGCUUGAAUACAUUAGCAUGGAAUAAUGAAAUAGGACGUUUGAUUCUAUUUUGUUGGUUUCUAGGAUUGACGUAAUGAUUAAUAGGGAUAGUUGGGGGCAUUAGUAUUCAAUUGUCAGAGGUGAAAUUCUUGGAUUUAUUGAAGACUAACUACUGCGAAAGCAUUUGCCAAGGAUGUUUUCAUUAAUCAAGAACGAAAGUUAGGGGAUCGAAGACGAUCAGAUACCGUCGUAGUCUUAACCAUAAACUAUGCCGACUAGGGAUCGGAUGAUGUUAAUUUUUUAAUGACUCAUUCGGCGCCUUAC
rnacentral:rRNA from 1 species